GCGACCAUGGAGCGGGGGAUCACCCGGACCCAUUCCGAACCCGGCAGUUAAGCCCCGCAUCGCCGAAAGUACUGCGGGGGAAGCCCGUGGGAGGAUAGGGCGUCGCG
rnacentral:rRNA from 1 species